AGCGAACGCUGGCGGCAGGCUUAACACAUGCAAGUCGAGCGGGCACUUUCGGGUGUCAGCGGCGGACGGGUGCGUAACGCGUGGGAACGUGCCCUCUGGUUCGGAAUAACUCAGGGAAACUUGAGCUAAUACCGGAUACGCCCUUUUGGGGAAAGGCUUGCUGCCGGAGGAUCGGCCCGCGUCUGAUUAGCUAGUUGGUGAGGUAACGGCUCACCAAGGCGACGAUCAGUAGCUGGUCUGAGAGGAUGAUCAGCCACACUGGGACUGAGACACGGCCCAGACUCCUACGGGAGGCAGCAGUGGGGAAUAUUGGACAAUGGGCGCAAGCCUGAUCCAGCCAUGCCGCGUGAGUGUUGAAGGCCUUAGGGUUGUAAAGCUCUUUUAUCCGGGACGAUAAUGACGGUACCGGAGGAAUAAGCCCCGGCUAACUUCGUG
rnacentral:rRNA from 1 species